rnacentral:lncRNA from 1 species
GGAGAGUGAUCUAACCUGGCUCCCCAGUCAAGGAGUCUAACCAAAUGCUGGAGUUGAAGGUACAGAGCCAAAGUGAGGGGUAGGUGCAGAAACCAAAACACCAGGGUGAUCAUAUAUUGAAAAUAAGUACAACGAAAGGGGCAGAGACUGUGUGCCUUUUUUAUGGCCCCUCAACUAUCCUAUUUUAAUUCUGGCUUGGAAAAGAACUCAUUCCUUGGAUGGUUACACAGGGGUGUCAUUGAGAUCUGGUAUCAACCCAGGCCAUGGAGCUGAAUGGAGAAGAAAUGCCUUCCAUCCCUUCCAACCAUUUGGCUUCUCCAGUCCCUCACCUCAAGCAAACCUCAUCAAGGUUUUCCGAUUUCCAGACCCAGGUCCUGAGCAACUAUGUAAAUGCAAACAAACACUGGUGAUGACUGUAAGGUGGGUGCAAUAUACAAACAGCGUGUGAAGCUGAAAUGCCUGUUUAUGUGUGGAUGCACUCAUUUACUCAAUGAAUAUUUAAUUUAACAAGUAUAUUGAACUACCUACAUGUGUAGAGUGGAAUCAAGAAACAAUAUUACUUGGCUUAUAAAGUAACUUUCAAUUCUACUUUUUCUGGGGUAAUCCUUUCUUUCCCCAAAUUAUAUCUCAGAAAGUUCCCAUAGCCUUUUCCAUUUUUUUUCUGGUAUUAACAGUGGCAUUAUUAGAUAUUAAAUAAUUAAUUUAAUUUAAUGAUUAAAUAAUUCUAUUCCAAUCAAAAUUAAAACUUCAAUCUCUCAGUAAGUUUAAAUCUUCUCUUCAUCCCUCUCCAGCUCUCGCCUCUCAGCCUUAGAAACCUAUGGGGGAAAAGGAGGGUAUAGGUUCUGUCCUUGGCCCUUCUUAUUCUAUAUGCCCUGUACUCUCCUUUUAUAACAGGGAACAAGUAUAAAGGAAAAGAGAAUAUGAGUUUUUUUUUCUUUUCUUUACAACAACAUUUUUAUAAAUAUAUCUUCUUAUUUUAGAGCAGUUCUAGAUAGUCAGAAUAAUUGUUAAGAUAGUAAAGAGAGUUCCCAUAUAUCCCAUGGCCAGUUUCUAGUCUUAUCAACAUAUUUCAUUCAUAUGGCUCAUAUGUUAUAAUUAG